rnacentral:rRNA from 1 species
GACAGAGGUGCCAAGCGUUAGGCGGAAUCACUGGGCUUAAAGCGUGUGUAGGCGGGCGGGCAAGUACCUUGUGAAAUCCCACGGCUCAACCGUGGAACGGCUGGGUAUACUGCCUGUCUUGAGCCAGCUAGGGGCGACCGGAACAGACGGUGGAGCGGUGAAAUGCGUAGAUAUCAGGAAGAACACCCGUGGCUAAGGCGGCUCUCUAGUACGGUACUGACGCUGAGACGCGAAAGCGUGGGGAGCAAACAGG